AAUUUAAUAGAAGCGCCAGAACUGAUCGAACGGGGUAUCAGUUGACGAGGAGGAGAUUAAUCGAGUUUUUUCGGCGGGAGUCUCCCGGUUAUUCAUGUAGCCGUUAUGUCUGAGUUACAAAACAAGCAGGCGACUGUUUGGACAGAAAGCUUAGACGCAUGAGUU
rfam:Listeria grayi DSM 20601 genomic scaffold SCAFFOLD1, whole genome shotgun sequence.